GCCAUCUUCGUCUAGGGGUUAGGACCUUGGAACCUCAUUCCAAAGACAUCGGUUCGAAUCCGAUAGAUGGUG
rnacentral:tRNA from 1 species